UCCACGGGCUGUGCCAGAAGCUGAAGGUGGUGAAGACUAAAGUCAAACAGCAUCUGACAGAGUCCAGCAGAGACACUGCAUCCAGGGAGGAGUAGAGGCAAUAAGCCCAGUGAACCAACAACGACUCAGUCAGAAACACCGAAGGAUGUGAUCAGAAUUCAUAAGAAGCCCAGCACUGUCAGAAGUAACCUACAAAGAUGGAUCAUACCGUCACAAAUUCAGAGCCUCUGACUCCAGCCGAAAAGCUUAAAGGCGGGAAGAGGAGCCAUGACGAAGGAAGCGAGCUUCGGGAACCACGACAUGGUCGACA